CAUACAAGGUCUGAAUAACAUAAAGCUGUCUGAAAAGAAGAUACACAGCUAAAUAAAAACAAAGAAGGGGACUCCAGGAGCUGCGAGCGCUGAGCAGUUGUACCUCAAGUCUCCGCAGGCUGUCCAAUUCGAGCUCACUAGUAGCCGCCGCUGGGACCGAGUCCAAAAUCUGCACAAAAAGUGCAAAGUAUAGUAUGAAUACAACCGACCACAUGUACUCUGUAAGUGCCGAGCCUAACCUCGACGAAGUAGUGACGAGGCUAAGGUGGAUCACCUACACUACACACUUGUACGCAAUAUAUAAUAAUGACAGAUAAUGAAAAUAUAGAACAAGAUUUAAUAGUCAACUGAAAAAAAUAACCACAGCCUCAAGAAAUGAACCAGUGUCGUCCAGAAUUACCAAUCUUUAGAAUUUCAAAUAACAAUACCGAAAACCAACACAACUCAAGGAAAUAGAAAUACAUAGGUUGUUGCGGUGCGCAACCUGAUCCCACCGUACAACAUAAAAUCCUACAUUACUUUAUCGUAAUAACAUCAACAAUAGCGAUAAUAUAUAAAUAUGUUGUGGCGCGCAACCCGAUCCCACCAUAUAUCAAUAUUAGUAUCAUAAUUCACCCUUAUUUCACCAUAUCAAUCCAUCCUUAUUACACCUGUUGCGGCGUGCAACCCAAUCCCACCGUAUAGUAUGAAUUCACCAUUAUUCUACCAUAUCAAUCCACCCUUAUUACACCUACAGCGGCGUGCAGCCCGAUCCCACUAUAUCAGUACCAAAUACUUAAUGUGCAAAAUCAAAUCAACAGUUCAAACCACAAAAACCUUUACGAUCAAUAAAUACCAAAGUGAACCAAAAAGAAAACCUUGAACAACAUAGGAAUCUACACAAGUAAUACUACAUAGCGAGACCAAUCCAGUAAUUAACAAUUAGAAGGUGCAAAUAAGUCAAUUUAAGCAAAUAGCGGGGAAUCAUGAAGCUAUGAAAAGAGCUAACGUCAUUAAGAGGAGAAGAUAUUGAUUAACAGAUAGCAGUUAAGCACGGAAAGCAUUUAGAGCGUACAACAGUUAAGGCAGAGAAGGAAAUAAUUAAGGAAAAAUAGAAAAUCAGGGAAAACGGAUAAUUCGACGGCGUAUAAGCACUCAUCACCUUGCAUAUACGCCGCUCACAUGAGAAUCACAUAGCACAUAGUCCGAGGGUUUCUAAUUCCCUUAAGCCAAGGUUAGACACAACACUUACCUCGCUCUUAAAAUUACUCAAAGCUCAACCACACCUUUGCCUUUCAAACAAGCCUCCGAACCAACAAUAUCUAGCAAAUUACCAAUCAUACGAUUCAAAAUAAGUCUUAGGAAUCACCCAUGAUUGCAAAAGAUUCAAUUUAGCUCACUAUUGAAAAAGUCAACAAAAAUCAACUCCCGGGCCCACUUGGUCCAAACCCGAAAUUUGGAUCAAAACUCAAUUACACAUUCAUCUCUGAGCCCAGUUAUGUAAUUAGUUUUGGAAUCUGACCUCAAUUUGAGGUCUAAAUCCCUAUUUUACAAAAAUUCCUAUUUCUACCCAAACCCCAAAUUUUUACUAUGAAAAUACAAGAUUUUUGGUUGAAAUCUUAGGAAAUAUAGUGAAAGAUUGAAAGAAACUAGUUCAGAAUCACUUACCGAUGAUUUGGGGAAGAAGAGUCCUUUGAAAAAUCGCCCUUAGGGUUCUUAAGUUUAAAAAUUAGAGAGAAUGAACAAAAAUCCCGCCUAACUCCCAUUUUGAUCAGUUGCAGAUGUCGCGUUUGCGACCUGCCGAAAAUGCGAAGAAACCAUCAAAAUGUGAAAUCCUUCCCAUCUCUGCUUUCUUCGCAAAUACGAAGAAUCGUUCGCAAAUGCGAACUUUGACCUUCCGCAAUUGCGACCAUUUGAUCGUAAUUACGAUCACUGCUUGCCCCAGCCCCAUUUCGCAAAUGCGAAGUUUUGUUCGCAAAUGUGAACUCUGGCCUCCCCGGCUACUCUUCGCAAAUGCGAUGAGUAUCUCACAAAUGAGAAUCCAUCAGUGGCCGCAAAUGCAAAGUCUGACCUUGCAAUUGCGAGGUCUGAGGCCUGCAACAAAAACUAAAGGCACACCAGCAAUGUUUUAAGUUCAAAUUUCACUCCGUAGCCUAUCCGAAAUUCACCCAAACCCUCGGGGCUCCAAACCAAACAUGCACACAAGUCUAAAAACAUCAUACAAACUUGCUCGCACAAUCAAAUCGCUAAAAUAACACCUAGAACUACACGAAUUGAACACCAAAUCGAAUGAAAUUUUCAAGAAAGCUUUUAAACUUCUAUUUUCACAACCGGACAUCCGAAUCACGUCAAACCUACUCUGUUUCUCACCAAAUUCGACAGACAAGUCAUAAAUAUGGUAUUGGUCCUAUAACGGGUUUCGGAACUAAAGUACCGACCCGAUAUCCAAAAAGUCAAUCAUUGGUCAAACAUUUCAAAUUCAUUAAGCCUUUAACUUUUAAAUUUCAACAAAAUCUAAUAACUCGGGCUAGGGACUUUCGAAUUCGAUUCCGAGCAUACGCCCAAGUCCGAAAUCAUGAUACAUACCCACCGGGAUCGUUAAAACACGAAUAGGGAUCCGUUUGCUCAAAACUUUGAUCGAAGUCAACUCAAAUAGAUUUUAAGGCAAAAAUGUCAUAUUUUCUCAGUUUUUUAAUAUAAAAACUUUUCGGAAACGCGUCCCGACUGUUCAUGCAAAUCAAGGAGGGCUAAAAUGAGGUAUUUAAGGUUUCGAAAUACGGAAUUGGGUUCUAAAACAUAAGAUGACCUAUCGGGUCAUCACAUUCUCCACAUCUAAAAUAAUUGUUCGUCCUCGAACGGACAUAGAAAAGUACCUAGACUGGUGAAAAGGUAGGGAUAUCUACUCUAUAUGUCCGACUCGGACUCCUAGGUAGCUUCCUCGAUGGGCUGACCUCUCCACUGCACUCGAACUAAAGGUUAACUUUUCGACCUCAACUGACGAACCUGCCGGGCUAGAAUAGUCACCGACUCCUAAGUCAAAUCCUUGUCCAACUGGACAGAACUGAAAUCUAACACGUGGGACGAAUCGUCGAUGAUACUUCCGGAGCAUGUGCACAUGGUAUCACGUACUUACAUUGGAGCCCCCAUUGAUCAUGUUAAGCUUAAUACUUGAUUAAAUUAUAGUACGACGUAUUAUUCUAUAUGCGAUAGAAUUUAAAAUAAGAGUACAUAUGUAUUAUCAAUGAGCUACAUAUUUAAAUAAUAAUAGAGGAAUACCUAUUAUACUAACCUUAUCAAUUAAUUAGUAAUGCAAAUAAUCUCUAUAUUAUAAAAAUGUGACUUAUUAUAAUAAAACUAGAUGUCGUUAUUUAUGUUACAUUAUUUUAUUCGAUAAAAAUUUAACAACUUUACUCAAUGAGAUAGUUUUCAAGCAAAUUUUUAAUUUUUAAUUCUCUAUUUCAAUCUUUGAAGUUGAAAUAACGAACUAAAAUUUAAUACAUACAUUAUUUAGGUAGAAUAUUAUAUAUCCACAAUAACCGAACUUCCAAAUAUUAUUUUGUAAUUUCAGGUAAAUAUUAUCCAAAUGCGUACAAUAAGUUACAAUAUUUUUUAUAUUCUGUAAUUGAAAAACAAAGUUAGCACACAAAAAAACGUAAAAUUACAUAAGAAUAUCAAGAUAGUAAUUGGGCAAAUCAACGUUAGAUAAAUAAAUGAUGCUAACAUAUGAAAUUGUAAUUUACUUUAAUAGUUCAAUCGUAUUAUUAUGGUAUGGACAAAUGAACUCUAGGUAAAUAAUUAUAUUAUUAAAUUACAUAGAGGGUAAGCCUUCUAAUUUAACCCCCUUUUUUCUAAAACAUUGAGUUUUAUGAGGAAAAUACCCCAGCAUAGCAAGUCAGGAUAAUAUGAUCGUUUAAAGAGGUAUUCCUUUUUAAUGAAAAAUGAGACUUUCUGGUAUAUAUGCUAUAUAAAACUUCCCCAAACUUUUGGACAAAUAAAUUUUUCUAUUGAAAAUUCCUAAAGAGUCUACCAAAGAUCGGAAAAGUGCCAAACAUGACAAUUACUCAUUUGCAUUGACUGAACCUCUCCUUUUAAUUAUUUCGAAUUAACUGAGAUAAAUGGAAUACACGAAAGGAAAUUCCAACUUGAUUAAAUUAAAUAAAUCACAAAUUAGUACUCAUGUGCUUUACUAUACAUUAUUUUAAUGUUAAGUGUAUUAAUGUAUGAAACUAUUCAAGAUCUUGUUUCCUUUUUCUUUCAGCUUUUUUUUUUUUGGAAAAAUAUUCAUUAAAAAUAUCAAAACAAUUAAAAGAAACGCAAAUAUAUUAAAAACUUAUUGCUAGGAACAUUUUUUUAUGUCCUAUGCAAAAUAUUUUGUCAAAGAUUUUAAAAACCUAUGUAUUGAAAUGUCCUAUAUCUGGAAAAACUUUUAGCACGUCUGAUCCUAUUUUAAAAUUUGUGUAUUGUGGUUUAUACAUAAUCUUUACAUUUCUAAAUUUUAUGUUUAAGAUAAUUAAUAUGUUCCUUAUUAAAUAUUUGGAUUUAGCAAAUCCUCAAACAACCUUAACAUUAGAGAAAAGCAAAAAGUUGCCAGCUUAGUAAUUGAAAUUGCAAGUACCGUGGUUCCCACAUGGUCAGGGAAGUGCUACAGUAAUAGUUUUCAAAAGAUUGUGUGAUUUAAUGAAUUUAAGUGGGUCCCAUUUAUUUUAUAGAAAAUCGGUAAUGUCAGGUUGUCUAGAUGAAAAUUACUAUAUAAUCAUAUUCUGAGACGACUGAGUUAACAAUCUUAAGGACAUAAUAGACUAUUCAAAAAAUAAUUUCGCAUGAAAUGACUAAAUUGCCCUUGAAAGGCAAGCAGGCAUGACGACCCUCUCCUGCUUCUCUCGCUCUUCUAUAUAGGAGUCCGGAACCAAAAUAUAUUUUUUUGUGACUCAAAUUACCUUAAUAGGUGUUAAAAAAAUACAUAUCUAUAUAUAGCGUAUCAAUACAAUACGCUAUACCUUAACGGAAACUUUUGUCGUUAAGGUAUAGCGUGUUGUAUUCAUACGCUAUAGCACUUGACGAUUUGACUGCCAUAUAUAGCGUCUUGUUAUUAUACGCUAUAUAGCGUAUGAAAAGAAAACGUUAUACCCCCAUUUAAAUAUUGUCCUUCGUCUUCUUCCCCGACCAAAACCCUUUCCCCCAUUUUUUUUAAAAUUCCCCUACUUCUGGUCUCCCCUCCCACUGCUCGUUUUAAUUAAAAAAAAUUGUGGGCCCCACCCGUCACACAAAAGGUAUUGAACGUAGGUCCCAUAUCGUAGUAGAGCAUUGUAUCGUUGUGGUUUAACGCCUUCGUCUACAAAUUUUCACACAAAACACUCACUACAUCGAGGUAUUUCGAUUUAUUUUAUGUCCAAAAUUGUAUAAUAAUUUAUAAUAGUUGAUUGAAUGUGUUUCCAUGUCGUUUUUUAUUUUAUUUGCGAAACUAAUAUGUUAUAUUUAUCCGGACUUAGAUAUUAGUGUUCUAAAAAAAUGUAAAAUUGAGAUUUAAUUUUUUAUGUUAAUAUCCGAAUUUAGAUAUUAGUGUUUCCAUGUCGUUUUGUGUUUUAUUUGUGAAACUAGUAUGUUAUAUGUAUUUUUGUGAAUAUUAUGUGAUUAAAAUAUAUUUGUUGUUUAUAUUUAGUUUAUUUAUUAGCGUGGUAAAAUGUAGAAACUUUUAGCGUAGUAAACUGUAUAGUAUUUUAACGUAGAAUCCAUGUAGUUUAAGUAUUUCUUAUAAUGGUAGAUGAAAAUAUAUACUGUGUACAAUUAAAUAAUCAAAAAAUUAAAUUUGACACGCAUAAAUAUUAAUGAUAGUUUGGUGCUACUGGGCCUCAAAUAUCGAGCCUGGAAUCUAAUAGUUAUAUAUACUUUGUACCAUCAAAUAAUUAAAAAUUAAGAAUUUAAAUUAUAAAACAAACACACACAAAAUAAUCAAAAAAUUGAAUUUGACACGCAUAAAUAUUAAUGAUAGUUUGGUGCUACUGGGCCUCAAAUAUCGAGCCUGGAACCCAAUUAUUAUAUAUAUUUUGUGUCACACCUCCUUUUUACCUACCCCGAGAAGGGUAUAUAAGGGAGUUUUUUCCAACUUAAAGUGACAAUCGAAAUGGAUUAUAUUUAUUAAAAUUCAGAGUCGCCACUUGGGAUAAUUUAUGGUGUCCCAAGUCACCGAUUCAAAUCCCGAAUCGAGGAAAAGAUUGACUCUGUUUUACAGCCCGCGAACAUAGAAAUCCAGGUAAGGAAGUUAACCCGGGAGAAGGUGUUAGGCAUUCCCGAGUUCCGUGGUUCUAGCACGGUCGCUCAACCGUUAUAAUUGGCCUAUUAUCUGAUUUUAACACAUGUUUUAACCUAUGGUUCAAUUUUAACUUUAUAACCGCUUUUAUUCAUUUUUUAGGAAGCUUGCAACGUUAUUUAAAACACGUCUUGAACCACGUCACAUGAAAUGCACCCGCAGUCCGAGACACAUUUUAUUUAACGUUGUUAAUAUUUGGAUUUGGAUCACAUGAAAUGCACACCCGAAUUUGAAUUUAUGUAUCAUGGUUAUACCACGGGAAUCGUACCCAUAGCCACGAUAAUUUAUUUAAUCGCGCCUAAAGCAAGUUACGCUAUUCAUUAAUCUUCCUAAACUUUGAGGUUUUUGUGAUGCCAAAUUUAUGAACAAGAUGUUAUUGGGGCAAUUAGGCUAGCUAACAUGAUCUAUUACUUGGCUAGAUUCUUCAUGGUCCAAAACCCGCCUUAUGGUCCAUUCUUAUUCCUUGCCAAGAAAGAAACAACUACAAUUUUCCAUCUACCCAAUUUAAUAAUUCACUUAAAUCACUACUUCAACAUGUUAAAACAAAGACAAAGUAACAAAACCAUAUAAAUAAGAAACUAAUUCAAAGUCCAAGCUUAUAACCCACAUAAUUGGCAAUCAGUACACAAUUAAAGCAUUCGUCAGGUGAUUCUAGGCAAAUCUCUUUAUACACAUAUCUUGGUAUUUAGCAAAGGUUGUAAAUCUGCAAUCACAUGUUCAAACUAGCGAUAGUGUAAACAAUCUCUACACUGUAAGCAACUUAAAUGACGAAAACAACAGGUAUAUAAAGGAUGGAUCAAAUAUUAUAAUGAAAUAAUUAGCAGAAAGGGCCAAAUGUUGUGCUAAAACAUUAAUUCGGAGAAAUUAAUUAGGAUUAAGAGAUUAAGUAUAGAAGAAUACUGAACCUCAACCAUUGAACCCUUUGUAUUAAACGUUAGUUUGGUUACAGCAAACUCCGGCGAAUCGAAUCUGACCGGAAAACAAAACAGGGACUGAACCUUGAGCCGUGAACCUCGUCGGCAACCUCGGGCUCCGACCACGCACCAGAAAAUUUCGAGUCGAACCCGAACACCUCAGCUACUCCAUUUCGAUUUCUUCUUAGAAAUGACUACCCCAAAUAUACAUUAUUUCGUUUCUGAAAUCUUCACUAGAUCUUGAAGCUAUGGACUAAGACUAAAGGUAAAAAAAAAAUCUUUUCUUUUGGAAUGAAAAGCUACAUAUAACUAUACAUUUUGGGAGUAUUUCAUUUUGGGGAAGUUGGGUGGCGGCUAAGAAUGGGUGUUUUUGGGUAUGGAGGUUGUCGUUAAUGGUUUGAAGAUUAGAGGUGAUCAAGUUAAGUAGGUUUUGUUCUCGUUUUUCAUCCUAAAAAGCAGCUGAUCUUGGGGGUCUCUUUUUUUCUUAAGCAAAAGUCAUGGAAGUGGCUUCUUCCUUUAGAGAAGAAGACAGAUCGGGGAAGGGGAGAUCUUUUUUGUGUUCAACGGAGGAUGGUCCGACCUUUUUAUCCCUAGGCGUUCUUUUUUAGGCGUUAUUCCCCUUUUGCUGAUCGUCCUUCGGCCUUCUUUUUUGUGUGUAUAGGUUUAGAUUAGUUUUAUAGGGUUUUUUAGGUUAAGAGGUAUGGGCCUAGGAAUUAUGGGCUUAAGAAU
rnacentral:lncRNA from 1 species